CGCACUGUAAACGAUGAUUACUCGUUGCUGGGGAGCAAUUUCCAGUGACCAAGCGAAAGCGAUAAGUAAUCCACCUGGGGAGUACGCCGGCAACGGUGAAACUCAAAGGAAUUGACGGGGGCCCGCACAAGCGGAGGAGCAUGUGGUUUAAUUCGAUGAUACGCGAGGAACCUUACCAGGGCUUGAAAGUUAGGGAAUACUCCUGAAAGGGAGUAGUCAGCAAUGACCCGAAACUAGGUGC
rnacentral:rRNA from 1 species